ensembl:misc_RNA Metazoa_SRP Metazoan signal recognition particle RNA
GCUGGAUGCAAUAGCGAGUGCCUGUAGUCCCAGCUAUUCGGGAGGCUGAGGCUGGAGGAUCUUGCUUGAGUCCAGGAGUUCUGGGCUGUAGUGUGCUAUGCCGGGUGUCUGCACUAAGUUUGGCAACAAUAUGGUGACCCCCCCGGGAGCCGGGGACCACCAGGUUGCCUAAGGAGGGGUGAACCAACCCAGGUCGGAAAUCCAGCAGGUCAAAACUCCCGUGCUGAUCAGUAGUGGGAUCGCGCCUAUGAAUAGCCACUGCACUCCAGCCUGGGCAACAGAGCGAGACUCCGUCUCUU